CACACAUGAGUGUAUGAACAAUGGUGAAAUCUGAAUAAGUCACAGCCAGUGGGGAAAGAUAUGGACUGGGUUUGCAUGAAGAAUGGGACUCCUGCACACUGUUGGUGUCUGAAGAGGUGGGACCAGUGUGCCCAUGCCGGCAGAGACACGAGGCACCGGGAUGUGACAUCCUCCUCUGUACAGUUCAUCACUGGCCUGUGGACUUCUCAAAGUUUGAGCUGCAUCUCAUUCAUCUCUUCAUCCCAAGAGUCAAGUUCCAGAGCCUGGCAUAACACGCCAGGGAUCAAGAAGUAA